rnacentral:rRNA from 1 species
GACGAACCGUACGAACGUUAUUCGGAAUCACUGGGCUUAAAGGGUGCGUAGGCUGCGCGGAAAGUUGGGUGUGAAAUCCCUCGGCUCAACCGAGGAACUGCGCCCAAAACUGCCGUGCUCGAGGGAGACAGAGGUGAGCGGAACUUAGGGUGGAGCGGUGAAAUGCGUUGAUAUCCUAAGGAACACCGGUGGCGAAAGCGGCUCAAUGGGUCUCUUCUGACGCUGAGGCACGAAAGCUAGGGUAGCGAACGGG